UAAACUACUGAUAAAACGGCAUUCAUUGU
rnacentral:sRNA from 1 species